UGUCCCUGUCCAUGGCGGGGGGGUGGAACUAGAUGAUCUUUAAGGUCCCUUCCAACCCUAUAACUAUUCUAUGAUUCACUGUUAAACACAUUUUC